GAGGAGCUUGCUCCUUGGGUGACGAGUGGCGGNNNNNNNNNNAAUGUCUGGNAAACUGCCCGAUGGAGGGGGAUAACUACUGGAAACGGUAGCUAAUACCGCAUAACGUCGCAAGACCAAAGAGGGGGACCUUCGGGCCUCUUGCCAUCGGAUGUGCCCAGAUGGGAUUAGCUAGUAGGUGGGGUAACGGCUCACCUAGGCGACGAUCCCUAGCUGGUCUGAGAGGAUGACCAGCCACACUGGAACUGANACACGGUCCANACUCCUACGGGAGGCAGCAGUGGGGAAUAUUGCACAAUGGGCGCAAGCCUGAUGCAGCCAUGCCGCGUGUAUGAAGAAGGCCUUCGGGUUGUAAAGUACUUUCAGCGAGGAGGAAGGUGUUGUGGUUAAUAACCGCAGCAAUUGACGUUACUCGCAGAAGAAGCACCGGCUAACUCCGUGCCAGCAGCCGCGGUAAUACGGAGGGUGCAAGCGUUAAUCGGAAUUACUGGGCGUAAAGCGCACGCAGGCGGUCUGUCAAGUCGGAUGUGAAAUCCCCGGGCUCAACCUGGGAACUGCAUCCGAAACUGGCAGGNUANAGUCUUGUANAGGGGGGUANAAUUCCAGGUGNANCGGUGAAAUGCGUANAGAUCUGGAGGAAUACCGGUGGCGAANGCGNCCCCCUGGACAAANACUGACGCUCAGGUGCGAAAGCGUGGGGG
rnacentral:rRNA from 1 species